rnacentral:rRNA from 1 species
GAUAGGUAGAACCUGCGGAAGGAUUCAUUAAAUAAUCAAUAAUCUUGGCUUGUCCAUUAUUAUCUAUUUACUGUGAACUGUAUUAUUAUUUGACAUUUGAGGGAUGUUCCAAUGUUAUAAGGAUAGACAUUGGAAAUGUUAACCGAGUCAUAAUCAGGUUUAGGCCUGGUAUCCUAUUAUUAUUUACCAAAUGAAUUCAGAAUUAAUAUUGUAACAUAGACCUAAAAAAUCUAUAAAACAACUUUUAACAACGGAUCUCUUGGUUCUCGCAUCGAUGAAGAACGUAGCAAAGUGCGAUAACUAGUGUGAAUUGCAUAUUCAGUGAAUCAUCGAGUCUUUGAACGCAACUUGCGCUCAUUGGUAUUCCAAUGAGCACGCCUGUUUCAGUAUCAAAACAAACCCUCUAUCCAACUUUUGUUGUAUAGGAUUAUUGGGGGCCUCUCGAUCUGUAUAGAUCUUGAAAUCCCUGAAAUUUACUAAGGCCUGAACUUGUUUAAAUGCCUGAACUUUUUUUUAAUAUAAAGGAAAGCUCUUGUAAUUGACUUUGAUGGGGCCUCCCAAAUAGAUCUCUUU